UGCCAGGCUUCAACACAGAAAUCUAGUCCGGCUUCUUGGCUGUUGUGUUGAUAUGGAAGAGAAGAUGCUGAUCUAUGAAUACCUGGAGAAUAAAAGUUUAGAUUCAAUUUUGUUCAAUAAACAGAAAAGCUCGCUGCUCGACUGGCAAAAGCGGUUCAAUAUUAUUUGUGGGAUUGCUCGGGGGCUUCUAUACCUUCAUCAAGAUUCAAGAUUUAGGAUUAUCCAUAGAGACCUUAAAGCAAGCAAUAUUCUGCUUGAUAAGGAUUUGACCCCCAAAAUAUCAGAUUUUG
rnacentral:misc_RNA from 1 species